UAGGAAGCUCCAUUUUUGUUAUAUUUGAAAGGAGAGUAGCACAUUAAUCUUUGAGAACACCUCUUUUGAUCUCAUAAUUUAUAGAGCUCAGUCAUACAGUUUACCUGUAGGAGAGCCGAGUGUACGAAGAACUCUAUUCAAAAAGCCAUUUUAGAUUCCCCAUUUCCGACUUCAAGCAAAUUUACGUCUCCUGAGCUUCUAUUUCUGGCCAAAGCUUUUCUAAAGUCUGAAACCAAACAAAAGUAUUAGUAUCAAUACGAAGAGUAUUAAAAUAAUAUACAAUUCCAUUAAUAAAUUACAUAUAUAAUUUAAAAACUCACUGGCGGCCUCUUAAUGUUGCGUCGCCGAAUGCAGAAAGUACUGCUACGCUGGCAAAUCACAUACUAUCGGAUUUAAAAUUUCCGACCAUUCAAUGAUGGUCCAUUUAUCGGAAAACUAGGCUAUAUGACGGUGAAAAUACCACGAAAAGGGUGGCAGGAUCAUAAGAUCGCCAUUUAAGAGUUACUGCGUGGGGUGCCCCACCACAAACUCAUCAAUCUCAGCGGCUGUCGACGACAAGAAAUCAGGUGGCGGUGCACCUAAAUGAGCCGCCAUUAUUCGGUGGAGUUAUAAUGCCGCCGCUUCUUUUGGUGGUUCUGCGAGACCAAACGACCAUCAGUGUUGACAAAAUUUGAUCGGUUGCGUAGGUCAUUAAAAUCUGAAUAUUUCGGUAUCGGAGUUGUCACCAAAUAUUUUGAUCUCGCCGGCGACGGCGACGGCGACGGCGACGAAAUAGUGAAUUCUGAUUUGUUAUUUUUAAGUUAUUAAUAAAUUUAAUUUUAUAUUGUUCA
rnacentral:lncRNA from 1 species